rnacentral:rRNA from 1 species
AACGAACGCUGGCGGCAGGCCUAACACAUGCAAGUCGAGCGCCCAGCAAUGGGAGCGGCAGACGGGUGAGUAACACGUGGGAACCUUCCCUAUAGUACGGAAUAGCCCAGGGAAACUUGGAGUAAUACCGCAUACGCCCGAGAGGGGAAAGAUUUAUCGCUAUAGGAUGGGCCCGCGUAGGAUUAGCUAGUUGGUGAGGUAAUGGCUCACCAAGGCGACGAUCCUUAGCUGGUCUGAGAGGACGACCAGCCACACUGGGACUGAGACACGGCCCAGACUCCUACGGGAGGCAACAGUGGGGAAUAUUGGACAAUGGGCGAAAGCCUGAUCCAGCAAUGCCGCGUGAGUGAUGAAGGCCCUAGGGUUGUAAAGCUCUUUUACCAGGGAUGAUAAUGACAGUACCUGGAGAAUAAGCUCCGGCUAACUACCGUGCCAGCAGCCGCGGUAAU